CAGCGGCCAUGGCUCACGGGCCCAGCCGCUCCGCGGCAUGCGGGAUCUUCCCGGACCGGGGCACGAACCCGUGUCCCCUGCAUUGGCAGGCGGAUUCUCAACCACUGCGCCACCAGGGAAGCCCUCAGCUUUCCAUUUUUGAUAGAACAUUAUAUGCCAAAAAGCUUUAUUUCCCUGUAAAAUCAGAAUGCAAAAUAGUGCUAUUGUUUAUUUUUAAAUUUUGAAAAUAAUUUAUUAGAGUUCUGUAAAUGAUGUUACUUUUAUAAGUAAUUUUGUCUGCUAAAGGAAAUAAAAAGGUGUGUUUUGAGGUUUUAAAGAUUUAAAACCAGACUGUAGCACUAAUUAAGUGUAUAUGAUCUUGGUGUGUUCAUAGCGUUGACCUUGUAAGUCUGGUUUAGGAGUCGUUUGUUACGAAUCCCAUGAACUCUGAUGAGAUUCAUCAUUGUCUUAACUCAGGUAGAAUAAAAGGGCAUCAAUUUCCUUUUUAGGAACAUUCAGAUUGUUUGGUUCUCAUGCUCUGUAACUCUCAUUGAAGAAUAAAAUUCAGUCCCUACUUGUUGACUAUAACCAACUUAGUAAAUUAUGUCUCUGCACAUUUCAAACAGGAAGAUACUUAGUUUAUCAAGACAUCCUUCACUUGUGUUCUGAGUGCCAGUGAGGAAUACCACAGUACAAUGCCUUGGAUUAUUUACAAGGAUCACUAAAGCAUGGGAUUUUGAGCAGCUUUUUGAAAAAUGUGACUUAAAUGUAAGAUUAGGCCAUAACUUUGAUAAUUGACAAGUACGUAUUUCCCAGUAUCUAGAGGGAAUUUUUUUUUUUAAUCUCUAGAAGUGUUGUUUUUUGUUGUUUUUUUUUUUGUGGUACGCGGGCCUCUCACUGCUGUGGCCUCUCCCGUCGCGGAGCAGAGGCUCCGGACGCGCAGGCUCAGCGGCCAUGGCUCACGGGCCCAGCCGCUCCGCGGCAUGUGGGAUCUUCCCGGACCGCGGCACGAACCCGUGGCCCCUGCAUCGGUAGGCGGACUCCCAACCACUGCACCACCAGGGAAGCCCUAGAAGUGUUUUCUGUAGACAUCUAUCUGUAAGUGUUCUAGGUUCUCGAGGAGCUCUUAGUCAAGUCCUUCCCUUUUUAUAUAACAUUCUCUCCAAAUCUCUCUUUGGUUUUAGCAGUAGUGGUCCCACAUUGCUGGCAAUAUAUGCAUUGUACUGCCAGUAGUUUACAGGAUGUUUCUUAGUAUAAGAUUAUCUCACCAAACUUAAGAGAAAGCACUUUCAUGAAACUUAGGGAGUUUUUGUUGGACAUCUUUCAGAAAUGCUCAAGAUACAUGAGGAUCACAUGUAAAAAUACUCACUAUUGGACUGUGCUGUACUACCUGGUCAUCCUGAGUUGCAACACUCUCUUGAAGUGCUUGUUUGUGAACUAACUGGUCCUGGACCGCCUCUGUGGUUUUGUAGGUCUAGCUGCCCUCGUGGAGUUCCAAACAUCGGUGCCAUCCUUUCCCUUUAUUCGUUAUUUGAGUUCAGCAAAUGAAGUUACAGUGACUAAGGAGGCUUCUGUGAACCUUGAUUCUUAGGUGAGAGUUCUCUGAACAGUGAAUAUUCUAGUCACUCACUGGAAAUUAGUAAGUUGGCAUUCUGUACAUUAGUAUCUUGGGAGUUUGGUUCCUGUGAUUCAGAAGCAGGAGCCCAUUUCAGAGGCUGAGGCAAGCCUCAGGGUGUACAGUGUCUCUUCCUUUGAAGACGACCUUCCUUGGUGACUUGUCAGCCAGCCUACAGCUACAGCAUUCCUACCAUGUCUCUAACUUCAAAAUGUUCUUCACCAGCAAGCAGAUCUCUGAAGCUGAUGAAUCAGACAUCAGCACUGCUUAGAAGCCUUAGCACCCUAGCUGAUAAGAUCAUGCCAGGAUCAAGACAAGAAGUGUCAGGACUGAAACAGAGCAGCACAUCGUGGUGACCUCCAGCAAAAAAGUCCCUCAGGAAUCAACCAGAGCACGACAGGGAAGUGGGGUAGAGGCCCUUACAUUAACGCAGAACACCUGCUUUGGCUUGCAUUCGGCAUCCCACUGUAGUUCUGACAUUUUUAUUAUCGUAUUCUGAGGCUAAUGUUCAGCAUAGUCUGCCCUCCUGCUGCAAGAGGGACUUGGGUUAAGAGGUGGCAGCUCCAGGGUAGUAUUGGUCUACAAAAUGGUAGAUUGUGAAAACAAGUGUGAUGAAAACUGACAAGUAAUAACAGAGUACGGCAAAGUGACUGGAUAGCAGCCCACCUGGAUAAUAUUGAUGUACCCUUCCCUCAGAACACUAUACAUGACAUUCCAGAGAAGGCUGGCAGAACCCUGCUGAAAACCCAGGCAUUGUAUCUUGUUGAUUUUCCUUCGAUGUUUGAUUAGCAUACCCUACCUACAUCAUCCUCUGACUCUGGAUCAUCCAGUGACUCUGAAAGCCACUCCAGGAGCGGCCCAUUGAAACCUGGUGGGUGCAGAGCAGUCUCUCUUGCCCUUGCUGGAAAAUGACCUAUAAAAAGUGGGGUGCUCACCUGCUACAGUAAUGGAGAGGUAGCUAUGCAGGAUCUUAGUUCCCUGACCAGGGAUUGAACCAGUGCCCCCUGCAGCAAAAGCGUGGAGUCUUAACCACUGGACUGCCAGCAUUUUCAUCCGGAAGAGAAUAUUUAUUCAACCAGCCAUCUUUAUUGAGAAUCUCAAUUUAAUUCUUUAAUGAAAAAUACAACUUCCAGUUCCACAUAAUUUAUGUAAAUACCUCACUCUCAAGGAAGUACUGAAUAACCCACCACUCUUUAAAUGUGAGCUGCACAUAGUGACUUCCGUCCAAGAGUACAGAACAGCAAGGGGUGAGGGAGGAGUAGCUUUAUAUUGGAGAUGUCUGAGGAACCCUCCCACAGCCUGGUGAUCAAGGCCAACAUCAGCAGUGAUAAAUCAUGCUGAUCGUAUGCACCCUUUGUGGUCUCACUC